UCCCAGGAAUGCAAGGGUGUUGCAUCCAACUGCUGUUAAUUUGUUCGCCUUGGUGGAUAUCUUAAAGAAAUCAGCAGUAUUUGAUGAGACCCAUCCAUCUGUGUUGUUGCUGUUGCUGUAGAAGCACUUGGAGGCAAUAAAGGAAACAUCGAACCCUUCACUGUAGAAGCAACCUUGACCGAUGCCGAAGGGGUAUGGGAUGGUGAGGUUGCCGCAUGUUUCUUGGCAUCUAGGCUUCGCCAUCCUGGACGCUGUGCUGCUCUUGAUGCUUGCUAGCAGCAGCAGGGUCGCUGCAAAGAUUAGCCAUGGGUGUAGAGGCGGCCAGAAGUGGUUUUGGGGUAUGCGAUAGCGUGUCCACUCAGCAACCAAAUGGGAGACCGCGACUCAGUUGGCAGUUUUGUUUUAGCCAGUUUUGCGAGCCUAACCUAUAAUAUUGUUUUAUCAAAUAAAUUCUAAGGUUUUUCUAACAGACAUGGGUCCUGUUCUUAGGGGUGGCAAUUCUGGUCUACCAAUUGGAGCAUUCAGUUUUACACUGUGAUUGAGCCAGGAGGGUUCUUGUUGACCCAGGGUCAAGACAGCGAACGUACGGUGCAUGAAAGGAAGUUUCGCUGAUGUGACAUGUUGUAUCUGCAAUCGGGUCAAGUCGUUAAAGGGAGUCUUCCAAAGGACAAGAAGGCAAUCUAAUGCACAUCCGGAUUGACGACAGCGAAGGUGAGCUGAUUUUGCAUCCCAGCAUUUCAUUAGACUGGUAAAGGGUUAGGAUUAUUCCCUUGGACUAAUUCUGCCGUCUGGGUUGAUUUCAUCUGAGAGCAGAUUUGCACCUCAGGUUUGUCCUUGGAUGUAUGCUCGACCAAUUUUCUGUUCAAUGCUAUGCACUGUUGGAGUGUGAUUUGUUAUUACAGGGAAAAAUUACUAGCUUCACAUCUAUUUAGAAAAGGGUAAAGGCAAGGACUACCAGUGUUUUCAAAGGAAAAAAACACACCAUGAAAGCCACUUCAUUGUGGAGGCAGGGGAAGGUAGAGUUGGGAUGUUUGUGCCAGGAAUAGGCAGAAAUGGACUUGAAUUCUAUACAAUGUGGAGAAACAAUGGUGGGACUUACAUGCAGUGGAAGUUGGAGAAGACGAUCUCAGUUCAUUUUUUGCACUACUCUGCGGGUUCAAAUGGGAAACACUUGUUCAUAUAUGAUGUGGAAAGCCCGUCGGUUAGCUAUGGUUGUUUCUCACUAGACAUCAAGACAUUCCAGCUUAAAAGGGUGUGUUCUUCAAAGACAUGGAUCCCUAAUCCGCUUGCAUAUAGCAACUUUCCACCAUCAAUUUUGGCAUCACCAACAAUAGCAAGUGGUACUCAGGAAGGUGAGAAGGAGAUGCUGGAACAAGGCGCGGAAACGCAGCAAGCUGAAGAACAUGUGGACAGCCAGCAUGGUGGGAGCACCGGUGAUGGUGUUGAUGGCGCUGAUUGAGUUUGUGCUGCAACUCAGACAGCUGACCACAUGUUGGGGUCUGUAAUAGGCGGCUCUGUUUGGUCCGUAAUAAUUGACCUGGAGUUUAUCUUUAUCCCGUGUGCUUUCGAUUUGACUUGAAGUUUAUCCUGUGUGCUUUCAAUAUGACGAUGGUUGGUGUGUUUGCCGCAUAAAGACUAUGUGAGUAGUCAAAGGCGAACAAUUUGAAUUUGUGAGGUAUUUGCAACUAAGCAGACGUGUUGGCCUAUAAUCUAUUUGUGUUGCUCUUUC